rnacentral:rRNA from 1 species
UACGGAGGGGGCUAGCGUUGUUCGGAAUUACUGGGCGUAAAGCGCACGUAGGCGGCUAUCCAAGUUGGGGGUGAAAUCCCUGGGCUUAACCCAGGAACUGCCUUCAAAACUGGAUGGCUAGAGUCCGAGAGAGGUGAGUGGAAUUUCCAGUGUAGAGGUGAAAUUCGUAGAUAUUGGAAAGAACACCAGUGGCGAAGGCGGCUCACUGGCUCGGUACUGACGCUGAGGUGCGACAGCGUGGGGAG